rnacentral:tRNA from 1 species
GCCAGCAUGGUGUAGUGGUUUGAGCAUUGGACUAUGACUCUGGAAUCCAGGGUUUGAAUCCUUGCUCAGUCA